rnacentral:tRNA from 1 species
UCCCUGGUGGUCCAGUGGUUAGGACUCUGCACUUCAACAGCAGGGGCCACGGGUUCACUCUCUGGUUGGGGAA